rnacentral:rRNA from 1 species
GUUCGGUCCCUAUCCGCUGCGCGCGUUGGAAAUUUGAGAAAGGCUGUCCUUAGUACGAGAGGACCGGGACGGACGAACCUCUGGUAUGUCAGUUGUACCGCCAGGUGCAUGGCUGAUUGGCUACGUUCGGGAGGGAUAACCGCUGAAAGCAUCUAAGCGGGAAGCCUGUUUCGAGAUGAGAUUUCCUGGCACUUUGGUGUGUGAGGCUCCUUAUAGAUGAUGAGGUUGAUAGGCCGGGUAUGGAAGCGGGGACUGAAGACUCGUGGAGUUGACUGGUACUAAUAGGCCGAAGGCUUACUUUU